rnacentral:misc_RNA from 1 species
UCCGUGUUAACCACGGCAGUCUUCUUAGAGUGCCCAACUUAAUGGUGGCAACUAAGAACAGGGGUUGCGCUCGUUGCGGGACUUAACCCAACAUGUCACCACACGAGCUGACGACAGCCAUGCAGCACCUGUCUCUCUGUCGUAUUGCUACGAAAGCCGCAUCUCUGCGGAUGUCAGAGGAUGUCAAAUCCAGGUAAGGUUCUUCGCGUUGCUUCGAAUUAAACCACACGCUCCGCUGCUUGUGCGGGCCCCCGCCUAUUCCUUUGAGUUUUAAUCUUGCGACCGUACUCCCCAGGCGGCGAACUUAAUGCGUUAGCUGCGGCACUGAUCGGGUCAAUCCGACCAACACCUAGUUCGCAACGUUUAGGGCGUGGACUAC